rnacentral:tRNA from 1 species
CCUCCUUUUUAGGGAGACCUACUGGAAUUAAUGUCAAAACCUAAACAAAAGCAUUAAUCAUCCAGCAAUCCCAAGGUCGUGCGAGAGAAAAAGGCAACUUUCCAACUAUACUUAUGGUUCGUUUAUUCGUUAAAAGCGAAAGAAACAAGAGCGAGAGCAACCCCAAAAGGGCUAUUAGCUCAGGUGGUUAGAGCGCACCCCUGAUAAGGGUGAGGUCCCUGGUUCAAAUCCAGGAUGGCCCAGUCAAACCCACAAAAUUUAGUUGGUUUAACUAGAGUUUUUUCAAGUCAACUUUUGAAGUCAACUUUUGAAGUCAACUUUUGAAGUACAAUAGUUAAGUCAAAGUAAAAAAAGGGGGUAUAGCUCAGUUGGUAGAGCGCUGCCUUUGCAAGGCAGAUGUCAGCGGUUCGAGUCCGCUUACCUCCAGAGUGGGGUUGAAAAAAAACGAAAAAACUUGAAUUCAGCAACUAGACCUGCAAGCUUGAUGUCACUAUCAAAGCAACUCAAGUCAGGAUGCUGGGGUCAAGACUCCAGUAAAAAACCAAAAAUCGAACCUUGAAAACUGCAUAGUCAAAAGUCAAUCAAAGUCAAAAAGAGUAACUUUGAGUGUGAGGCGUUAAUUGCCUGGUUGAGAAAUCAUCAAGCAAUUAAAGCCAAGCAAAAAAUUAACUGACAGUUAAAAACUGAUUAACCUGAAAUUUAUUUCAAGUUAAUCCAGAACCAAAAUGGUCAGUUCAGGUAAAGGUUAAAGGUGAAAAUGACCACAUAACACCUUUGAACAAGAAACAAAAAGUGGUCAAGCUAAAAAGGGCUAACGGUGGAUACCUAGGCACACAGAG